CAAAAUGGCUUAGGCUAUUUUGGUGACAGAGAACCCUAUUUCAAGCCUAGUUCAGCAUGUAGCCGGCCAAUUUUAUAUUCACACUCAUGGGUCCAUAAUUCUUAACACGUUAUCAGAGCAGGUCAGGGCCUAGUUUCAAUUCGAUUUCUCGUGUUGCCGCUGCAUUUUGGUUUCAUAACUAAAAUGCAUAACUGGAAUAGAAGGGAAAACCGUUCUUGGGAGGAGUUUGAGAAAGGAAUUUGUUGUAGAUUUGGGGAGCAAGGGCUGAAAGAUAUUGUGGAAGAAUUUA
rnacentral:misc_RNA from 1 species